GCCUCGAUGGCUCAGUUGGCAGAGCGGCUGACUUGUAAUCAGCAGGUCGAGGGUUCAAAUCCCUCUCGAGGCU
rnacentral:tRNA from 2 species